UACGUAGGGUGCAAGCGUUGCCCGGAUUUAUUGGGCGUAAAGGGCGCGUAGGCGGCUCUGCACGUUCGUUGUGAAAUCUCCCGGCUCAACUGGGAGGGUGCGCCCGAAUACUGAAUGACUAGAGUGCGGGAGAGGAGAGUGGAAUUCCUGGUGUAGCGGUGAAAUGCGUAGAUAUCAGGAGGAACACCGGUGGUGUAGACGGCUCUCUGGACCGUAACUGACGCUGAGGCACGAAAGCGUGGGUAGCAACAGG
rnacentral:rRNA from 1 species